CAUUCCUCCUUGCAAAACUGCUCCAGCUCCAGCUCCAGCUCCUUCAAGUUGAAUGGUUUGUGCUUGUGAACAGCAAUCUUUAAGUCUGACCACAGAUUUUCUAUUGGAUGGAGGUCUGAGCUUUGCCUAGACCAUUCCAACACAUUUACAUGAUUCCCCUUAAACCACUCAAGUGUUGCUUUAGCAGUGUGUUUGGGGUCAUUGUCCUGCUUGAAGGUGAACCUCCGUGCACAG